rnacentral:rRNA from 1 species
CCUACGGGUGGCUGCAGUGGGGAAUAUUGCGCAAUGGGCGAAAGCCUGACGCAGCGACGCCGCGUGAGGGAUGAAGGUCUUCGGAUCGUAAACCUCUGUCAGCAGGGAAGAACGGUCACUGUGCUAAUCAGCAGUGAAUUGACGGUACCUGCAAAGGAAGCACCGGCUAACUCCGUGCCAGCAGCCGCGGUAAAACGGAGGGUGCGAGCGUUAAUCGGAAUUACUGGGCGGAAAGCGCACGUAGGCGGUAUGUCAAGUCAAGGGUGAAAUCCCCGCGCCCCACGUGGGAACUGCCUUUGAAACUGGAAACCUGGAGUUCGCAAGAGGAAGGGGGAAUUCCAGGUGU